rnacentral:misc_RNA from 2 species
CAACCUCAAGCACUGCUUGGUGUUGGGCGAGGUCCCCCCACGGACCCGCCCGUAACCCGUAGGCGGCAGUCGCCCGCGCCCCCAGCGUAGCAAGCUUUCGCACCCGCUCGGGGACGGCGCGGCGGCCAGUCCAACAAAACCCUCUAUAA